GUUGUCCUUGAUGAGAUUCAAACAUGUAACCUUUGGGUUGCUAGAUGUUUGCGUUAUUUGCCCACCAAUCCACAACCAUCCAUCCAAACAACAACCAAAUCCUGCAACCCAGGGUCCAUACAGGUCGUAUGAAAUCCUGCAACCCAGGGUCCAUACAGGUCGUAUGAAAUCCUGCAACCCAGGGUCCAUACAGAUCGUAUGAAAUCCUGCAACCCAGGGUCCAUACAGGUCGUAUGAAAUCCUGCAACCCAGGGUCCAUACAGAUCGUAUGAAAUCCUGCAACCCAGGGUCCAUACAGGUCGUAUGAAAUCCUGCAACCCAGGGUCCAUACAGAUCGUAUGAAAUCCUGCAACCCAGGGUCCAUACAGAUCGUAUGAAAUCCUGCAACCCAGGGUCCAUACAGAUCGUAUGAAAUCCUGCAACCCAGGGUCCAUACAGAUCGUAUGAUUCUGUUUGUUUUGCACUCCAGAGAAGAUAUGAUAUCUCCAGUUGAUAUUUGCUGCUAACAUGAAUGACUUUCAGCUAAAAAAAAAUCCAGGUGUUAAACACAGUUUAUUGUUGUAUCUUGCAUUUUGAAAAUGCAUGGCUGUAGUGACCAGUCAUUCACAUGUACACUAGACGACCGACAGGGCUCUGUUUUGAAGCCAC